rnacentral:rRNA from 1 species
UACGGGGGGGGGUAAGCGUUGUUCGGAAUUACUGGGCGUAAAGGGCUCGUAGGCGGCCAACUAAGUCAGACGUGAAAAUCCCUCAGCUUAACUGGGGAACUGCGUCUGAUACUGGAUGGCUUGGAUUCGGGAGAGGAAUGCGGAAUUCCAGGUGUAGCGGUGAAAUGCGUAGAUAUCUGGAGGAACACCGGUGGCGAAGGCGGCAUUCUGGACCGACAUUGACGCUGAGGAGCGAAAGCCAGGGGAGCAAAGCGGG